GAAAACGCGAUGAUGAGAAGAGUAAGGAAGUUCUGUUCUUGCACAGAGAGCUCCGGUAGGUGAAAAGGAGCAAAGGGCAAUUUCCCGAACCAAGCCUCUGAGCAGCAUGCCGGAACCUUCAAGGGGGAUGGCAUGACGGGAGCUCCCGUUAUAGAGCUAGAGUAUAAGCAUUGCCUGCAAUGCCGUACUUAAAGAGGUUAAUAUGGCGACAUAUUAAUGAACCUGGGGUGGCACCGCGACAACUUCGUCCCCAAG
rnacentral:ncRNA from 1 species